CCCACUGAGCCACCCAGGUGCCCCUCAUCUUCUCUUUAAAAAGGUUCCUUUCUUCCUAGGAAACAAAAGUGUUCUGCCUCCAGAAUUACCUUCGAGGGGUUUUGCUUGCUCUAGAAGUUGACGCUCCCUGCUCAAGCAUGCUCCGUGUGGCCUGAUGGACACGGCGCACUUACUGGUUGGCCAAUACAGCCGCUGAGCAUCUGCUGGGUGUUCUGGCGGGAACGCUGGAGAAUGGGUCUGCAGAUCAGCACAGACAGGGUGAAACGCACAUCAGGUCAACAUUGCUUUCCCCUCCCUAGCAGCUUUCCGACACUGUUCAGUGGUGACUGUGGAAUUCUGAGCUCCUGUCCUUCUGUCCAGCCAGCUGCUCUCUGCAGAAUGUGUCCUGCUUCUUUAUCACUCCAUCUUUCUCUCCCAGCUGCUUAGCCAGGUGCUUUGCCUUGGCUCAUGCCUCUUCCCGUGAUACCCUCUCUCUCAAGGAGUAGCUCUGGUUAACUCCUCCCUCCUUUAGUCGUUCUGAAUUUCAGAGUCUUUCUUGGCUUGCUCCAAUGAGACCCUCAGCUACUCUGGUCUUCACUUCACCAGAAACCGAGGCACCAGGAGGACCAGAAUACUGCAGAGACUUCGAACCAGAUGGGGAGCAUCAUGCAAUCAAUCACAUUUUCCAAAAACUGGCUGCCCUCACCAUGGUGAUGUUCUCAUUCCCCUUGGCCUCCAAGGUGACCCAGCGCAUGCUGGUGGUCCCACCCGUGGCUCCUGCUUCUCCCUCGUGGAGACCUGGCUUGCACCUGUGAGCACUUCAGGCCCCAUGGAGCCGCACACAGUCUUCCCUUGCACAGUGGGAGCAAGGCCAGACUCCCCAUGAACCAUCAGUGCCCCUGUAUACUGAUUGCCAUACGCGGACUGGGUGGGGAACACCCAGAAGGCGAGCUAGAGAUAAGGGUGUGCACAUGUCUUCCUGGUUUAUUUUGAAAGUGAGGGAUUCUACAGACUGGGAGAGUGCAGCGGGAAAGGAGGAGAGCCAGUACAAGUGUCAUUCUCAUGUUGAUCACUGUGUCUCUGUAUUACUCAGUUCUCCAGAGAAGUAAGCAGAAGAGAUUGAUUUUAAGUAAUUGGCUCAUGAUUAUGGAAGCGAGGAAGUCCAAAAUCUACAGUGUGGGCUGGCAGACUCAAGACUUGAGAGCGAAGUCCAAAGGCAGUUUGCUGGAGAAUUCCUUCUUGCUCUAAGAGAAAAUCAACUGAGAAGGAAUGUUUGUGCAUUACCUUAAAGAAACAUAAUAUGCAAAUACAGGCGUGCGAUGAGUGAGUCAACGAUUCUACACGGUCCGGAGCCGCCAUCGCCCAGCCGCAUACCGGCUCAUCCCUCCGCAUCCACACUCAUUCCCCGUGUGAUCUCAUUGCGGAUUCAUCCGCCAGCCCGUCACAGCCUGGACUUGUCCCCAAGCACUGGACUCCCGUGUCUCCUCUGCACCCCCCGUGGACAUCAUAAAACCAUCUCAGACUCAGUAUGUUCAAAGGGUGCACAGUUCAGAGACACUAAGUGCACCCACAGCGUUGUGCAACCACCCGUCUCCAGCACGUUUCCAUCUUCCCAAACUGAACUUGGUCCCCACGAUGCACAAAGUCCCCAUCGCCCUCCGCCAGCCCCUCACGGCCACCGGUCUACUCUCGCUCCCCAUGAAUUCGACUCUUGCCUGUGCCACGGAAGCGGGGUCCUGCAGCAUGUCCGUGCGUGUCGCUGGCGCAUUCCACUGAGCCCCACUGAAGCCACGGUGGGUUCACCCGUCCUGUCUCCUUCCUCGUGAGGGCGGAACCGCAUCUCGCUGUGUACAUUUCACGCUUCCUUUCUCCGUCCGUCCGCGGUCAUUUCCACCUUCAGGCUGUUAGGAACAGAGCUGCGACGAACACGUGUGUACAAAUCCCCGUUUGAGUGUCCACUUUCAGUCCUCUGCGGCCUGCACCCGCGGAAGCAGGAUCGCUGGGCCAGACAGUAAUUCUCUGCUUAAUUUUUUGGAGGGACCCCCAUUCCUAACCGUUUGCUUUCUCGGGAAAAAGUUGAGUUAAUGUAAUUCCCACCUUUCCUCAAGUCUCAUCUCUUGGGUGACAAUCCUGUGGCCACCGGCGUCCACGGGGCGUCUGGCCUGAGGACCUCCCUCUGUGUGUGGUCGACUGCAGGCCCGGUUCCCUGGUGGACACUCCAGUGACUUUGAACCCAUCAGCCUCGUCUUCCCCGCUACCUCUCGGUGCCACUAGAUGGCGUGGGAGAGAAGUUCAGGUUUGUUUCCUGGGGAGAAGGCCCUCUUUUGUUCCUCCUGCCAGGGUGGGGGUGGGCAUUGGGCGGGGGUUGCUUUUCCAAGCUCCCUACCUGGGAUCCCACUGCCUUGAACCUUGGCGACAUUUCUGAGUUUCUAACGUCUUUAGUUGGGGAAGCCCAGACGAUCCAUCCUUCUUGAGAGGGGUAAUGGUGGGAAGACAUGGGCACGUCAGAAAAAAAAAAUCAAAUCCCCCCAGGGUGUCAGAAAAUCCUACUCUGCAGGACCUGAACACCUCAUCUGGGCUCCCCUGGCCUCAGUUUCCUUAUCUGUAAAGUCAAAGCGUUGGACUGGCCAGUGGUUCUCAGUUCUGGGAGGGUGUGAAGCCCCGCUGGGGAGAGAACACGGCAAUGAUAGUUGAAUUAGAACUUCCAGUGGGAUGGCAGAGAACCCCUGGGUUAGCCCCCAGCUGGAAGGGGCUCUUACCACCCAAGACCCCAGCUAUGCUCCAAACGUAGAGGAUAGGGGCUUAUCAACUCCCCCUGACCCCGCGGGAAUUUGUCAGAAGACACCAGCUACCCAGGGCCCCCCCAUCCCAAGCUUUGAAUGAGCGGGACAGCGUAUGCCGGCUCGAAGCCCUUUGAAACAGCUCCCCCUCCCUACCCAGCACUGGGGCGCACUUGUGGGCACUCCUGAGAUGCUCACGGAAUGUUUGGUUAAACAGCCUCGUGUGAUGAAGGAAACUUCCAGGAGAUCGUGACCCCAGAGCCUUCAGGAGGCCAACCUGGAAUUAGGACAAUGAAGGGUGACCCCGGACAGGAGGAACUGUGUGGUCUUGUGGGGUUGUGGAGCACAAGGGUCAAGAGAGAGAAUUCCUGAGCUGCUGUACGAUGACGCUUAGUGAGAUUAUUGGAGUCGCCUGGGGCCAGCACCCAUGCACAGAAAGAGCGGCACUUUGGCUGCAUGAAGCUGGUAGUCAUCUGCUUUGUUGGGCUCAGGGGGCAGGGGACGCGCAGGGAGUAUUAGGUCAUAAAUGUCUUUCUUCAGCUUUCUGCUCGUGAAACCACUUUCAUGAGAUUUCUCUGGUGCUUGUCAUUCAGUUCAGUAUGGGCGGUCAGUGAGUUGGACAAGAGUCAUGAGACCCUUAGGAAUGCAGCGAUCGAUCGGGGCGUAUUUGAUCCUUAUCACAGCGCUGCGGGCUCUAGGUCAGCCUUCUGGGCGAAAGAAGCCCCAGCUCUAAAUACAGCCACAUGAGCCAUCAGGGCUUCAGGAUAUGGAUUCAGGAGGGAUGUGAGCCUUCCAUAGCACCAUCUCCCCUGGCGGGGGCAAGGCCCCCCAUCUUACAGCCCAGAGGACCAAGCCCCAGCGGCUGAGGGCAGAGGACCCGGAAGACUUUCCUGGCCCCCUCCGCUCUUGGAAUGACCUCCUCCCUACUCUGCCCGUGCAUUUAUCAGCCCACAUGCUCACCCUUUGUGAAUGAACUUUCUUUCUUUUUAAAAAAUUGUAUUGAAACCAAACUCAUCAUAUUUUAUACAUUGACUAUGUACAGUUUUUAGCAGAUCGAUCAGAUCCCCAGAGAGCCGUGUGAAGAACUCUAUUGCCAUCUCUUGUUUGCUUUUCUUCCUCUUCUCUUGUGGCUUUAUAAGUUUUCCUGCAGUCCCAUUCCUGAGGUGUGCUUUACAUGCAGUAAGCCGCGCCCCUUUAAACAACAGAAUUCGGUUGAGUUCCGCGGUGUUUCGGCUUCUGAGAAUUGCCACGGCAGCGACGAUGCAGACAUUGUCGUCACCCCAGUUCUCCUGGAUCCCCCCCACGUCCCUGUCCUCUCUGCCCCCUCUUCCCCAGGGCCUCUGCCCUCCCCAGACACUAGUUUGCAUUUUGUAGGGUUGCAUACAAAUGGACUCGGGGCAUCAACUCUUUUGUGUCCAGCUUCAGGCAUCAGCCUAAGGAUCUUGAGAUUCCCGUCUUUGUGUGUGUCAGUAAUUAACUUCCUUUUAGUUUCCGCGUACUAUUGUAGGGCACG